rnacentral:rRNA from 1 species
AGCGGCGGACGGGUGAGUAAUGCUUGGGAACAUGCCUUGAGGUGGGGGACAACCAUUGGAAACGAUGGCUAAUACCGCAUAAUGUCUACGGACCAAAGGGGGCUUCGGCUCUCGCCUUUAGAUUGGCCCAAGUGGGAUUAGCUAGUUGGUGAGGUAACGGCUCACCAAGGCGACGAUCCCUAGCUGGUUUGAGAGGAUGAUCAGCCACACUGGAACUGAGACACGGUCCAGACUCCUACGGGAGGCAGCAGUGGGGAAUAUUGCACAAUGGGCGCAAGCCUGAUGCAGCCAUGCCGCGUGUGUGAAGAAGGCCUUCGGGUUGUAAAGCACUUUCCGUCAGGAGGAAAGGUUAGUAGUUAAUACCUGCUAGCUGUGACGUUACUGACAGAAGAAACACCGGCUAACUCCGUGCCAACAGCCGCGGUAAUACGGAGGGU